UUGCUACUUCUUGGAGGUGAUUUCUCCCAGCUGAGCCUGGCACCUAGCAGGCAUUCUAGAAGAGAGGGUGGAAUGCCCCAGCCCUGGGGCCGAUGGCCAGGCCUUCACAGGGAAGCUCAGGGAAACUGCAGCAACGUGCUGGGCUUGGGGAUGGUGUCUUGACCCUGAGUGAGUCUGGCCAGCCCUGAGCUGCCACACAUCCCCCUGCAGCACCCCCAGGCUGGCCAGGUACAAGUGGGCUAAAGUUGGGGGUGGGCUGCAGGCCCCCUGUAACAGUAAUAAUAGUAAUGCAGCUCCCAUGCACUGUCUGCUUAUUAUAUCCUAUGCAUGUUAUGCCAUUAUCCCCCCAAUCAGCACGACCAGCCUGUUAGCUGGGUGGUAUUUCAUCCCGUUUUAUAGACAAAGAAACUGAGGUUCAGAGAGGUAAGGUCAGGUGGCUUUGCCAGGAUUUCCAUCUCUUUGGGUCUAACCCUGACUGUUUGCUGCCUUCCCUCCAGCCUGGGGGGAUCUGGACUGUGUUCAGGCCAAGACCCCUGGGCCUCCCGUCUGAGGCUGGCAGAGGGUAUCCCCACCAUUCUCUGAGGCUCUGAGGCCUUUCUCAGAGCUCCCUCUACCUUCUCAUCCACACAUGUCUGUACAGACCCAGGUUUCAGGGUACCCCCCAGGGCCCACCCAGGCCUGCCCCAUGCCAGCUCCCCAGGCUGCUUCCAUUCCCGGGGCAGGAGGCCAGGUGGACUGCAGGCUCCCACUGCUCCUGCUGCUCCUGCAGGAGAGCUGCCUUGGCAUCAGGCUUGGUGCCCACUGGUCUCAAAGCUUGAGGAACUGUCUUCAAAUAUUUUCUCAUUUCUAUCUCCUCCUGUUCACUCCUUUCCAGGACCUCCCCGGAGCCGGGGUCCGCUGCCCCCACCCCACCUCAAGGUGUGAUUCCUUCAGAAGUUGCAAGCCUAGGUUCCCUCUGCCCUUUGCUGGCUGACAUCCAGCCACCACACUGACGAACCUUCCUUAAAUAUCACUUGGAUCCUGUCCUUCCCCCGCACACAAGCUUUCAGAGGCUCCCUAUUUCCUCCUGCAGCAAAUAGACACCUCAGCCUUCCUGGAAAGGCCUUCAUAAGCCAACCCUUUCAACAACCGUCUCGCUUCUCCCUGCCACCCUCAGCCCAGCCUGGGGGUGUAGCACCCUUCUUAAUGUCUCACAGAAGGCACCUAUCUUAGUGUUUCCUCCACCACCCGGAAUCUUCUAGCACAUUCUCCCAUUUUUCCCUGCUCUGAAGUUGUGGAGGCAUGAACUGGCCUCCACCACACUCCUUUUUCCCCACUGUUUGCCAAUCAACCACCCUGUGUUAGUCUUGCCCAAGUGCCUUUCCUAUGGUAGGUUUAAGUGAUUUUUCAUGGAAAUAUUUAUAAUAGGGAAAAUCAAGAAAUAAUUCAAAUGGCCAAAAAUCAGGGAAAUGGUAUAUGAACUAUGGAGAAACAUGAGGUAGAUAUUCCAAAGAUGGUUGUGAAGCCUGCAGUGAGAUGGCAAACACCUAUGAAAUAAUGUUAGAUAAGAAGGAAAACAGGAUACAAAGUGGCUUUCUAUUGUUUUUAAACAUGUUGAAAAUGAAUAGGAAGAAAGACUGGAAGGAAACUCCUUCAUUCCUCAGACCAAAGCUGGGAUAUAAUUUCCUGCCACUGAAUGAGUAGAAGUAUUUGUUGCACUCUGUUAAAUACCCCCAAGCUAAAUGGGUUUAUGUUAGGAGGAUGGGUUAGGGGGUGGUCUUUGUCCUCUGCUCCUUUCAUAAUGGGAAGACAUCAAUCCUAAGUUUUGACGGGCAUGAAGGAGGGUGGGAAGCAUGCUGCUGGCUGUGACAGCUGUCCAGGCGCCCACCUUCCAGCUUAAACCUACCUCAGGCCCACCUAGGACUCCCAGGACUGGAGAAGCAGAGCUUUCGGGCCCCCCGGGGACCCUGUUUGCCCAUCUUGGGUCCUCUAGGCCAGCCGAGGGCACAGCUGCUCCCUGUUCUGCCCUGCACCUCAUAGGCCAGUGCAGGGGCAGCUCCGGCGGGGCCGAGGGCUGGGGAGUGCAGGCGGGGGUCCCUCGUUUCACCACAUCCUCAGGUUAUUUUAGAGACCGGGACUCCAAGCUCAGAGGAGUGAACACUGGGUAUGGCCAGCAGGGACUCGGCCCCCUCUUCUUGCUUCACUGCUGUGCCUGCCACUUCUGUGUGUUCUAGAUUCAGGCAAUGACUCUGCUGGGUGGGCUUCCAGGGGACCCAACAGGAGCUCCUGCUGGGACCUGGGAAUGGACCAGGUCCUGGGAGUUGGGGGAGGGCCCUGCCUGGUCCCUUUCAGGCCUUGGUUCAAAUGUCACCUUCUCAGGGGGGCCUUCCCUGGCCACUCUGGUUGGCUAUAUUCCACCCCUCCCUGCUUUCUUUUUCUUUUCCACUCGUAGCUUCUAACAUACAACACAACAUACUAGGUAUCUGGUUCGUGCUCUCUCCCUAGUGGGAAUGGAAACUCAUGCUUUGUUCACUGCUGUUCUUUCCAGGGUCUAGAACACCUGGCACCAAGUAGAUGCUCAAUGAAUAGCUGAAUGCCUGUGAACUAGGGAUCAUGUGCUCCUCAGCCCAAUUGGAAAACCCACCAGGAAGCCAAAUCACCACAAUGAAGAAAAGAGAUCAAAUAUUUUGGGGCCAAGAGAUUGAAUCUGUGCCUAGUGGCUCUUCCUCCAGGAAGUCCGCCCUGAUUUGCCUGGACUGAAAGCAGGCAGUGUGGAUCUGUUGAGCAACCACAGUGCUUACCACUGCCUCUCCCAUCAGUGUCGGGGGUGUGUACAAGCCUUACUUUCCUGGCUCCUUGGGGCAGGGCUCACCUUAUCUGUAUAGUCCCAGUGCCAGGAGCACAGGGGGUGCUCAACAGAUGUCUGUUGAAUGCAUAAAUGAGAUUCAAUUCCUGCUUCUCCCUGGAAGUAACUCCCACCUCCCAGCACACUGAAAAGCGCUCAAUAAACCUGUGUGGAAUGGACAGAGGCCUGCUUGAUGUGACAUGGAUUUUCUGUUCUACUUUACCUGAGUUUAGUCUACCCCAACUUGUGUGAGCCCGGACUCGUGGGCUUGCCUGUGUCCUGCUCGUACUAGGCCCAUCUCAGUCAAGGCCUUUUGGCUCCAGGACGGCCCUGCCGCCUCUGCAGGCCUGGCUGCCCCUCCAUGGGUGUGGGACACUCCUCGAAGUUUCUGGAUGACGCUACCCUCGCCAGCCCUGGAAGCCUGCUUCUCACUCUCUGGGCUGCCUGUCAAGCCCAGCGUGGUGCACAUGUGCGCAUGUGGAAGAGCGGCGUGUGGAGAGGCAGCUACUCAUCUCCCCACGGCUGUGGGUGGUUACGCUCUGUGAUCAUCCUGCUUCCCAGGGAUGAUGACACUGACAGUUAACCCUAUGAAUGCUCACAUGCCAGACACCAUGCUGGACUAUUCGCCUGCAUUACUUCAAGGAGUAGACAGAAUUCUAAGAUGGCCCUUCUGAUUCCUCACUCCCAGAUUCAUCUUAAAAAAGUAUAGUUGAGCAAUAUUAAAAUUUGAACACAGUGCCUGGAUCAUCAGGGGAGCAGGAAUGGUCAGAGUACUUCAGAGACAGGAUCAGUAAUCCACAGGUGAGAAGAUAAAAUCAGAAAAAUAUAAAUAUCUUGUUCAUUUAACUAAGUGGUACCCUGUCUGUACCAGUCAGCAGUCAAUAAAAGGAUGGCUUCUUUAAAAAUGUUCUAUGCAUAAGAAGGAGUUAAUAACUGAAAUAUUUAUGAGAAACACCUGGCAUUUUUCAUGUAAGAAUGAUUUGAAUGGUAUAAACUAGUCAGAAUUUUUAAAAAAACACGUUUUCCUUAUUUCCAAAUGUUUCUGUCACUUAAUGUUUGCCUAUAGGCUAACUCAGGAUUUCUGGAGCACAGUGAAAUGACUUCAGGCCUUCAAACAGAUGGCUUGACCUGAAGGAACUCCCAGGGUUCUAAACAGCCUGGGCUCAGAGUUUUAGCAAAAUCAAAACUGAACGUUUUAACCAUUUGCUUCCUUAGAAGCCAACCUGCCGACUAGCUCCAGUUUGAUCCCUGGAGUAGAAGCACUCCAUUUGGUUCAGUUACUCACUGUCAGUGUUAUUUUGACAACUGCUUCCUAUUUCCUUCUUCCUGUAUCCAGUGACUGAAUUUUGGUCAGCUCUCCAUCCACAGAAGGGAUGGUCCUCCCUGGUUUAGUAUCAUUUUAACACCCAUUUCUGAAGCUGACAUUUUUCAAGAACUUGCUGAAACAAGUCACACCCAAACAAUUCUAAUGCUGAACACCCUGGGCAUCUCACAGGGCUCACUCCCAGGGCCCUGACGCCCUGGCGGGAGUGAGGGGUUGGGGGGGAGGGGUGCAGGGACAACUACACUCUGCCUCAGCUUGCCUCAUGUGGGACAGGCACUGCAGUGACAGUUCCACUGGUCACAGUCCCAGGGCCAGUGGUGCUCUCCAGGCAGCCGCCAGCCAUGGCGCUUUGAGGGGAGGGGGUGGUGAUCAGCUCUGCUGCCACUCUAAACCAUGCUGUGGUUCAGAGGGCAGACGCAGGUUUGCCUUCUCUGGUCAGCAAACUUAAAUGUUCAUUCUUGCACCAUAAGAAGACUUCAUUACAUUUCUAUCUAGAUUCCCAAGUCUCUAGAAACUCGUCACUUCUCUACAACCCUCAACCCUCAACAAAGGCGGAAUGACCCUGAACAGUCAAAAGAAAUGCCACACUACAUAUCAUCCGCAGGACAGCUAUCAGAUACUCAGAACAUUGCAGGCAUAGUUCUAACAAGUUUGAUUCUGUGAUUUUUCCACAAAAUAUCCUAAUUAUGGCAAGAUCAGGACUAGGUAGAUCAACAGCAAGUUGUGAUAACUAGCAGUCUGGCACAAAGGCAGGUGAGAAAAUAAUAAAAGCAGACCUAGGAAACAAACACAAAAACCUUGGUCUGGAGCCAUUGAGUGUAGGAACAAAAAGCUCAAGCACCCCUCAAGCUCUUACUGCACACUAAGAAGUGUUCACUCCUGACCUUGGUAAUACACAGCGGACCCUCUUGGUUCCCACCCAACCGCCAUCCUCCAGCCUUCUUUUCUCUGGGCAGAACCCUCUUCCCACUCCAGAGUCCCCAAGUGCUGGGUAUUCCCUCUCAGUCUCUUAUAGAACCAAAGGUUGGAAAUGUGACUCAGUCUUGCCUAUGGGAUGUGAGGGGAAGUCAGCUAGGGGUCUUCUGAGAAAUAUUUUCCUCUCUGAUUAAAACACAUGUAAGGAGAAGCCCUGUUUCAUUCUUGCCUGGACCUUAUCAUGUGAGUUCUUGAGGCUUGGAGCUGUGCACCCAUCUUGUGACCAUGAGGGGAAAGUCAGCCUGACAUCACUGGGCUGCUAAAUUCAUUCUUUCUAAAAGCUGGAACUGCCCAGCUCUGGGUUUCUUGUAUGUGAGACAAUUACAGGUCAUAACUUUUUAAACCUCUUUCAAUCAGGUCUUCUCAAACUUGCAAUCGAAGGCAUCUAAGGAAAUGUUAUUUUGUGCAGCUUCAGUUCAAGAAAGCUGGAUAAUUGUAUAAUCUAUUUCAGAAAUAGUUGCACCAAGCAUGGUUAAAAACAUUCAAGGCACAUGAAUAGGAAAGUUUUAGUUGUAAGGAAAACUCAGUUAUGUGGGAUGGUUCAACCCUUGAAAAUGCCAAACAAAUGAGGGGUUAACCAUAAUUCUUCCCUGGGAGUCACAUCAUCAAAUACUUUCAUCAUUAUUCACAAGUCAGCCAUUAUUUCAUUUCUCCAAACCUUCCAAACUAUAUAUUCCUGUGUUCUUGGGUUUGUAGGGAAGAUACUCAUGGAUUCACUUUGUGGUGGUUACGGUUGUGCUCCCAUUUCCAGUCUUUCCAGGCCUCUUCAGUUCCUAAAAGCCUUGUUAGGAGAUAGUUUUAACCCCAUGUGGACUUGCUGUAAACCCCCCUCCAACGAUGACUCCCUCUGAGGUCAAUUUUUCCUAAAAGCAGUUUAUACACAUCUCAUUACUGCCACAGUGGACGCACAACCAGUUAGGGAAGCCUGUCACUUAUUUACUGGCCACCUCCAAUCUUACUAACUACCCACUAAGCCCUUGAGAUGCGCAGAUUCUGCCCACUGGAAAGUUAACACCACAUGUCCAAAACACUUGCCUACAAGAAAUAUAGAAGUAAAGUGUUCUAAUUCAGAAGUAUCAUUACAAAUCAAGGUGUCUUAUUUUACCAUCCCUGUCUUACAUUUCAAUGACAAGGGACACCAAAAAUCAACCAGACUUUGUUAAACUGGUUUCAAAUUUUCACUAUCUUUUGUGUGAUUUGAUUAUGUUAAUAGGUUACCUUUGGGGUUUUCAUAUACCAAACUAAAGUCUGAAGUUUUCUGAAUUUCACUGUAAAUUCUAAAAAUCCUAAUAUGGGGGUGACAUCAUGGUAUGGUGGGAAAAGGCACAGCCUCUGGAGUCAGAUAAAAAAUGGGUUCAGUUCAUAGGCCCACCAUUUCUUACUGGUGAGACAUAGUCCAAAUAUUUCAGCUCUUUGAAUCUU